rnacentral:rRNA from 1 species
AGUGAACGCUGGCGGUAGGCCUAACACAUGCAAGUCGAACGGCAGCACAGGAGAGCUUGCUCUCUGGGUGGCGAGUGGCGGACGGGUGAGGAAUACAUCGGAAUCUGCCCAGUCGUGGGGGAUAACGUAGGGAAACUUACGCUAAUACCGCAUACGACCUUCGGGUGAAAGAGGGGGAUCGCAAGACCUCUCGCGAUUGGAUUAGCCGAUGUCGGAUUAGCUAGUUGGCGGGGUAAUGGCCCACCAAGGCGACGAUCCGUAGCUGGUCUGAGAGGAUGAUCAGCCACACUGGAACUGAGGCACGGUCCAGACUCCUACGGGAGGCAGCAGUGGGGAAUAUUGGACAAUGGGCGCAAGCCUGACCCAGCCAUACCGCGUGGGUGAAGAAGGCCUUCGGGUUGUAAAGCCCUUUUGUUGGGAAAGAAAUCUUUCAGGCUAAUACCCUGGGAGGAUGACGGUACCCAAAGAAUAAGCACCGGCUAACUUCGUG